UACGGGGGGAGCAAGCGUUGUUCGGAUUUACUGGGCGUAAAGGGCGCGUAGGCGGUCAGCACAAGUCAGUUGUGAAAUCUCCGGGCUUAACUCGGAGAGGGCAACUGAUACUGUGCGACUAGAGUGCGGAAGGGGCAACUGGAAUUCUCGGUGUAGCGGUGAAAUGCGUAGAUAUCGAGAGGAACACCUGCGGCGAAGGCGGGUUGCUGGGCCGACACUGACGCUGAUGCGCGAAAGCCAGGGGAGCGAACGGG
rnacentral:rRNA from 1 species